AAUAACAUAGUAUGUUAUGAAGACCCAAAUUGUUACAUUCAGCAAGGAGAGGGGAGUCUUAAUGAUCCAUGAUGGCAAGGAGUAUGUCCAUGCAGGGUAGAAGAGAAGAUCCCUUUGCUUGAAGAAAACUGGGAGCUUUGCAAUAGUUAGGCCAACUUCUGCCAGUCCAUUGAACAUGAUCAUCAGGAUCCCAAAGAACAGGGCACCCAUGUAUAUCCUUCCAUCUGUUACUGAGUCACGAUGCAUAUUGGUUCGGAGAAAGACGGUCAUCGUAAUGAGUGCCAUGAGUGUUAGCUGAACAAUAGGUAGUAAACAAAAAGGAGUUGUCAUUUAAGUUCUCAUGGUGUGGCCAACAUAAUUUGAAUCUGAAAAGCCCUGGUUCUCGAGAAUCACCUGAACUGCCUUGAAUAUGUAUACAAAGGAAUUUCUUUUCAUUAGCAAUAUCUCUCUGUCAAUAUUUGCUUUAAGUAGCUCUCUCACGCUGGCGCCAUAUUUUGAUGUUUUCAGAGCAGCAGGAUGACUCGUACUCUUGUCAAAUGGGACUGCCAACUCAUUUCGUAUAGCCUCACCAACAUGGAAAGAUUGAAAUGCUUCUGCAAACUCCUUCACGGGGACAUAUCGGUAGGUGUCAUCACCAUGUUUCCAGUAUUGUCUCUGAUCUUUCUUUGAUGUAACCUAUCACAUUUCAAUUAUUGCUCGUCAAACUUGUGCACUAAUAUACCCCAAAAAAAGAUCAGCACUACUGAAUAAUAUGAUCCUAGCAUUACAUAUUUCUGAAAUGUGUACUUCGUUAGGUAUUUCGAGAUCUUUUCUUUUUAAUUAAAUACCCUUCUAGAAAAAGCUUGAUGCAGAACUGUAAUGAAAGUACAGAACUCACUUCCUGCAGGAAGUCGGCUACACCUUUCCGCUGCGGGCAUUUGAAGCCAACUGACUCAAAGAACUCAAGAACAUAUUCACGAGGACCAUUGUAGACAACCUGACCAUCUGAGAGAAGAAUUAUAUCAUCAAACAAUUCAUAUGUCUCAGGUGCAGGUUGUA
rnacentral:lncRNA from 1 species